rnacentral:rRNA from 1 species
CCUACGGGUGGCUGCAGUGGGGAAUUUUGGACAAUGGGCGAAAGCCUGAUCCAGCAAUGCCGCGUGAGUGAAGAAGGCCUUCGGGUUGUAAAGCUCUUUUGUUUGGGAAGAAAUCCCUAAGGAUAAUACCCUUGGGGGAUGACGGUACCAAAAGAAUAAGCACCGGCUAACUACGUGCCAGCAGCCGCGGUAAUACGUAGGGUGCAAGCGGCAAUCGGAAUUACUGGGCGGAUAUCGUGGGCAGGUGGGUAAUCCCCGAGCUCAACUUGGGAACUGCACUUGUGACUGCAAGACUAGAGUGUGUCAGAGGGAGGUAGAAUUCCACGUGUAGCAGUGAAAUGCGUAGAUAUGUGGAGGAAUACCAGUGGCGAAGGCGGCCUCCUGGGAUAACACUGACGCUCAUGUACGAAAGCGUGGGGAGCAAACAGGAUUAGAUACCCCUGUAGUC